UAAUACGUGGAGGGCGUGUGUUAUUCAGCGUUACUGGGCGUAAAGGGCAUCUAGGCUGUUUAAUAAGUUCUUUGUAAAAGCUUAUGGCUUAACCGUAAAAGAUAUAAAGAAUACUGUUGAACUUGAGUAUAGAGGAAGAUAGCGAUACUUUUAAAGGAGAGGUAGAAUGCUGCGAUAAUAAAAGGGUCAUCAACUAGCGAAGGCGGCUAUCUAUUUUAUUACUGACGCUGACGUGCGAAAGCGUGGGUAGCGAACAGGAUUAGAGACCCUGGUAGUCCACGCCCUGACCGAUGAGCGUUGAAUGUUGGGGGACUUAAAAGUUUUUCAGUGUUUAAGCUAACGCGUUAAACGCUCCGCCUGGGGAGUACGGUCGCAAGGUUAAAACUCAAAUGAAUUGACGG
rnacentral:rRNA from 1 species